GUUUUAGCGCUGAGUGUUUCUGUUGCUGCUCUCUGAUUGGCCAUGUGGUUAGAGAUAUUAGCAGAGCAAGCAGAAAAUAAUCAACAGCAGAGAAGCAACGCAGUCCUUGAAAGUGACCAGAGGAUGUGAAUCUAUGUUCACAUAGCUGGAAAAUCUGACCUGAAUCCACAUUUUCACAGCCAUUCCAAUCUGUUCGACCCAGAAAAUCUGAUUUGUUCCCCUUCCAGAUGAAUCGCUUUAGAGUUCGGUUAGGUUGUUUCGUAGCUGCUGAAUCUUCUGUAUUUAUUCAGUAGCAGAAAGAGCUAACAGAAAGUCCGUCAGACUUUCUGUUAGUGAUGCAGAAGUGAAGCAGCUGGACAGGACUCAUCACUCUGACGUCCUGCUAACUGUCAGCUCUGGUUUUUACUUCACAACGACUCAUCUGUCCGACUUCCUGCAGCCAAAUCUGAAUUAUUCAGAGGCUCAUGAUGUGAUUCUGUUCUGGGAGCAGGAGCAGAACCUCGGGCCGGUUCUGUGGCUCAACAGUUGGCUUCAGGUGAUGAUGAAACGCCAGCGGCCAGCCGAGCCGCGACGGGAACGCGGUCUGAAAGCAGAUCCGACAUCAGGAAGCAGCCGGAAGAACAAGCAGGAAGGAGAAAGUGCUUUUGGACUGGAGGCAGAAUGGUGUCACAGCAG